rnacentral:rRNA from 1 species
GGCGCACGGGUGAGUAACGCGUACGCAACCUCCCCUGUACAGGGGGAUAGCCCGGAGAAAUUCGGAUUAAUACCCCAUAAUGAUAAGAUAUGGCAUCAUAUUUUAUUUAAAGCUUCGGCGGUACGGGAUGGGCAUGCGUAACAUUAGCUAGUUGGUAGGGUAACGGCCUACCAAGGCUACGAUGUUUAGGGGUCCUGAGAGGGUGAUCCCCCACACUGGUACUGAGACACGGACCAGACUCCUACGGGAGGCAGCAGUGAGGAAUAUUGGUCAAUGGGCGCAAGCCUGAACCAGCCAUCCCGCGUGAAGGAAGACGGCGCUAUGCGUUGUAAACUUCUUUUCCAGGGGAAUAAAAUUUUGUACGUGUACGAAAUUGAAGGUACCCUGGGAAUAAGCAUCGGCUAACUCCGUGCCAGCAGCCGCGGUAAUACGGAGGAUGCGAGCGUUAUCCGGAUUUAUUGGGUUUAAAGGGUGCGUAGGCGGAUUAAUAAGUCAGUGGUGAAAACCUUCAGCUUA